AGAUUGAACGCUGGCGGCAUGCUUUACACAUGCAAGUCGAACGGCAGCACGGGGGCAACCCUGGUGGCGAGUGGCGAACGGGUGAGUAAUGCAUCGGAACGUAUCUUCAAGUGGGGGAUAACGCACCGAAAGGUGUGCUAAUACCGCAUAAUCUCUACGGAGAAAAGCAGGGGAUCGCAAGACCUUGCGCUUUUGGAGCGGCCGAUGUCUGAUUAGCUAGAUGGUGAGGUAAAGGCUUACCAAGGCUUCGAUCAGUAGCUGGUCUGAGAGGACGACCAGCCACACUGGGACUGAGACACGGCCCAGACUCCUACGGGAGGCAGCAGUGGGGAAUUUUGGACAAUGGGGGAAACCCUGAUCCAGCCAUGCCGCGUGAGUGAAGAAGGCCUUCGGGUUGUAAAGCUCUUUCAGCCGGAACGAAACGGUCACGGCUAAUACCCGUGAUCACUGACGGUACCGGAAGAAGAA
rnacentral:rRNA from 1 species